rnacentral:rRNA from 1 species
CAAUAGCGUAUUUUAAAGUUGUUGCGGUUAAAACGUUCGUAGUCGUAUUUCUGCUUCGGGUGUUUCCUUUCCAAAGGGGACAUUCGAGAAUUAGUGUGGGCGGUUUUCGUCACUUAACUGCGCCGAUGCAUAAACCCGCACUGAUUAUUUUGAGGAAAUUAGAGUGUUUAAAACAAGCAAAGUAUGAAUAUAAUAGCAUGGGACAAUGUAGGAAACGGGGACGAGAUUAGCGUGGUCUUUUGGCUCGGCCUAAAUUUUACAAAAGGAGCAGUUUGGGGGUAGUUCGUAUUGAGCUGCUAGAGGUGAAAUUCUUGGUAUUUUUUUAAGUACGAACAAAUGACAAAAGACAUUUACCAAGGAUUGUUUUCUAUUGAUCAAGAACGAUAGUUAGGAGAUCGAAGACGAUUAGAUACCGU